rnacentral:rRNA from 1 species
UACAGAGGUCUCGAGCGUUAGGCGGAAUCACUGGGCUUAAAGCGUGUGUAGGUGGAUGCCUAAGUACCUUGUGAAAUCCCACAGCUCAACUGUGGAACUGCCUCGGAUACUGGGAGUCUCGAGGGUGGCAGGGGUAUGCGGAACUAUCGGUGGAGCGGUGAAAUGCGUUGAUAUCGAUAGGAACUCCGGUGGCGAAGGCGGCA